rnacentral:misc_RNA from 1 species
GAUGAAGAACGUAGCGAAAUGCGAUAAGUAAUGUGAAUUGCAGAAUUCAGUGAAUCAUCGAAACUUUGAACGCACAUUGCGCCCGCCAGUAUUCUGGCGGGCAUGCCUGUUCGAGCGUCAUUUCAACCAUCAAGCCCCCCGGCUUGUGUUGGGGACCUGCGGCUGCCGCAGGCCCUGAAAAGCAGUGGCGGGCUCGCUGUCACACCGAGCGUAGUAGAUCUCAUCUCGCUCAGGGCGUGCUGCGGGUUCCGGCCGUUAAACCACCUUCAUAACCCAAGGUUGACCUCGGAUCAGGUAGGAAGACCCGCUGAACUUAAGCAUAUCAAUAAGCGGAGGA